rnacentral:rRNA from 1 species
GGGGGGAGCAAGCGUUGUUCGGAUUUACUGGGCGUAAAGGGCGGGUAGGCGGCCACCGCAAGUCAGUUGUGAAAUCUCUGGGCUUAACCCAGAAAGGUCAACUGAUACUGCGGGGCUAGAGUGCAGAAGGGGCAACUGGAAUUCUCGGUGUAGCGGUGAAAUGCGUAGAUAUCGAGAGGAACACCUGCGGCGAAGGCGGGUUGCUGGGCUGACACUGACGCUGAACUGCGAAAGCUAGGGGAGCGAACGGGAUUAGAUACCCCGGUAGUCCUAGCCUUAAACGAUGAAUGCUUGGUGUCUGGGGUUUUAUAGUCCCCGGGUGCCGUCGCUAACGCUUUAAGCAUUCCGCCUGGGGAGUACGGUCGCAAGACGUG